UUAAAUGAGAGUUUGAUCCUGGCUCAGGAUAAACGCUGGCGGCGUGCAUAACACAUGCAAGUCG
rnacentral:rRNA from 2 species